rnacentral:misc_RNA from 1 species
GAUGAAGAACGUAGCGAAAUGCGAUACGUAGUGUGAAUUGCAGAAUUCAGUGAAUCAUCGAAUCUUUGAACGCACAUUGCACCUCUCGGUAUUCCGGGAGGUAUGCCUGUUCGAGCGUCAUUUGUACCCUCAAGCUCUGCUUGGUGUUGGGUGUUUGUUCCGCCUCUGUGUGUGAACUCGCCUCAAAACAAUUGGCAGCCGGCGUACUUGUUUCGGAGCGCAGCACAUUUUGCGAUCCAGAUCAACGUACAGCGGCAUCCAAGAAGCCUUAUUUAACGCUCUUGACCUCGAUCAGGUAGGGAUACCCGCUGAACUUAAGCAUAUCAAUAAGCGGAGGA